CUUCAUACGUAGUCGCAACACUUCGUUUUCAGACAGUUGAUUUAUUGCCGAUUUAUUACAUCAAAUCUAUUUAUAAUUUGAAACGUGUUGUUAUCAGUUCUUUUUCUUCCUUGUGGUCGUUUUUAUUAUAUUUUUGUCUUAACAUUGACCUUUUAAAAGUUGCGGUUUGUAAAUGCAUAUGUCGUCAACCAUCAAUCCGCUCGCAAAUCCGAAAGGAGUAAAGACGCUUUGCGAACUUUGCCAGAAACCUGCAAAACUGCGGUGCACAAACUGUCCAGUCACGUAUUACUGUGACCCAGACCAUCAGCAGGCAGACUGGACCAGUAUUCAUGAAAAAGUGUGUCCUCUACUGGUGUCCAUUCACUCACAUCCACCCCUCCACACUUUGCAGGCCGACCGGGAACGUCACCACAGAGAGACCCUGAAGAAACAGGAGCAGCUUAUAGAGAUUGCACAUUUAGAGGCACAGAAAUGGGUGUCCAAGAAGAGUUUUCACCAUGCGCUACCAGCUGCUCUUCUGUUCCUGCGGUGGGCCAUGCGGCUGUACGGAUCUCAUUCUGUCAAACUGGUCCCAGCUUAUCUUCUGCUUGCGGAGGCUAACAUAGGUUUAGAUUCUAUGUCCCAGGCUCGAGAGUAUCUCACUAAGGCUGAGUGGGCAGUAAUGAACACACCAGACUGCAAUCCCAUUGUCCAUCAUCAGCUACAUAGAUCCCUGGGCCGCCUGCAUGCUGCUACAGGAAAAUACUCAUCUGCUCUCUUUCAUUUCUCCAAUGACGUGUAUUAUGCCAGUGAAGUGUUUGGGUUGGACAGCACUGUGACAUUUAGAGGAUAUUUCCUCAUGGCGGAUGUGUUUCUGAAAGAAAACAAGCCUGACGUUACCUGCUCGCUCUACACAGAGGUGGCAUGUUUCUGGCACACUCACCUGUGUAAGUUGAUGGAAGGGAUCAGUCAAAGUGGCAAUCAAGCAGAGGACUGUUUUGCUGAUGCCCAGUGUGUGGAGGUGGAUGGGAUGUUGAGAUGUAUUCUAGAGUUUGAGGAACAGUAUCCGAAUCCACGCUCUGAUCAGUCAACCUUAUUGGUUCAUUCUCUGGCAAUGCUGUGGUUGCUAUGCAACAACUACACCAAGAUGUGAAUGGAGACCAAUGGUUUUUGUUUACCGACUGAAUACCUUCAUUUGUGGUUUGCAGAAGAAAUAAAGUCAUACAGGCCCUGGAAUAUGGAAAAAAGGCUGAGCUGUUGAUUCAGGGGUCGAGUGAGCAGAACAGUAUGAGAGAAUCCAUCCAGAAUCUUCUGCAUUAUGCUGAAAAACAUUUGCAAUAAAACUGUCAUGUUAUUCAUUAGA